CAUCCCAUCAUCUAAAUCGAUGUCCAUCCCUUAAGUCCGCAAUAUGGACAGUUGAAGCAUUAGAGUAUCAAUCCUGCGUUACUGGGCAUUAAUAUAUAUAUUGUUUGUCGUUCACCUGCCUUGCAAGCUUUCAUGGUCCCUGUGAUGAAAAUCCAAAAGGAGAUUAAUUAGUGCACUCUAUACAUGAAUACAUGCAUACAUAAUGCAUUUCAUAAACCAUUUUUCUUACUCGCUAGUCCUCACCGAGGAUGAAGAAUUGCCUCCUUGUAGCACCGACUAAUCGACGUACGUGCUCAAAUUGGUCUCUCUGAAC
rnacentral:lncRNA from 1 species